GCGGCUGUAGUUCAAUUGGUAGAGCAUCAGCCUUCCAAGCUGACCGUUGCGGGUUCGAGUCCCGUCAGCCGCUCCA
rnacentral:tRNA from 1 species